rnacentral:rRNA from 1 species
AUUGAACGCUGGCGGCAGGCUUAACACAUGCAAGUCGAGCGGGGGAAGGUAGCUUGCUACCGGACCUAGCGGCGGACGGGUGAGUAAUGCUUAGGAAUCUGCCUAUUAGUGGGGGACAACAUCUCGAAAGGGAUGCUAAUACCGCAUACGUCCUACGGGAGAAAGCAGGGGAUCUUCGGACCUUGCGCUAAUAGAUGAGCCUAAGUCGGAUUAGCUAGUUGGUGGGGCAAAGGCCUACCAAGGCGACGAUCUGUAGCGGGUCUGAGAGGAUGAUCCGCCACACUGGGACUGAGACACGGCCCAGACUCCUACGGGAGGCAGCAGUGGGGAAUAUUGGACAAUGGGGGGAGCCCUGAUCCAGCCAUGCCGCGUGUGUGAAGAAGGCCUUAUGGUUGUAAAGCACUUUAAGCGAGGAGGAGGCUACUUUAGUUAAUACCUAGAGAUAGUGGACGUUACUCGCAGAAUAAGCACCGGCUAACUCUGUGCCAGCAGCCGCCGUAA